rnacentral:rRNA from 1 species
CCUACGGGAGGCAGCAGUGAGGAAUAUUGGUCAAUGGGCGCGAGCCUGAACCAGCCAAGUAGCGUGAAGGAUGACUGCCCUACGGGUUGUAAACCUCUUUUGUCGGGGAGCAAAAGCCGGACGUGUCCGGCUGUGAGAGUACCCGGAUAACAAGCAUCGGCAAACUCCGUUCCAGCGGCCGCGGUAAUACUGAGGAUGCGAGUGUUAUCCGGAUUUAGUGGGUUUAAAGGGUGCGCAGGCGGAUUUUUAAGUCAGCGGUAAAAUCGUGGGGCUCAACCCCAUCCAGCCGUUGAAACUGGCGAUCUAGAGUGCGCGAGAGGUAUGAGGAAUGCGUGGUGUAGCGGUGAAAUGCAUAGAUAUCACGCAGAACACCGAUUGCGAAGGCAGCAUACCGGUGCACAACUGACGCUCAGGCACGAAAGCGUGGGUAUCGAACAGGAUUAGAUACCCCUGUAGUC